rnacentral:tRNA from 1 species
GGAGGGGUGACCGAGUGGUUUAAGGUGGCGGUCUUGAAAACCGUUGUGCGAUGAGCACCGUGGGUUCGAAUCCUACCCCCUCCGCCA